GUACAAGGUGAUCGAACGAGUA
rnacentral:siRNA from 1 species